UGGAACCAAUCUUUGAAGUUGACUUUAGAUUCAGAUGCUGCAGCGAAACCCGACUUGAGUUGAUCGGAGGGGCGAGUGAAAAUACAUACAUAAGCUCUGAAUCCCUCACCGGAACCAAAUCUUUGAUAAUAUUAUCUGACGAGAGAGAGAGAAAUGGCAGGAUUGCUAGCAUGGGCAGCAGAUGUAGUCACAUCAACGACAAAGACGAAGCCAAUUCAAUCCCUAUAUUUUUCACUCCCGAUCAGCAUAUUUACGUCAGGGGCUUGGAUCAGAAAGCAGCUUCUCUCAGCCAUUCGAUCCAAGAUCUAUGGAUCUUUAGAGAGUUUUACGCGCCUCCCUCACCUCCACGCCCACUCCCUAGCCUCAAACGCCGCUCUCGCCCUCCAAUUGAACUCUCACUCCGCCACCAGAGAACAGGAAAUGGACUUGACUGAGAAAGAUAUAAAAGCUGAGUUGGAAAAUCCAAGAUGACAGUUGAAUCUCAAGAAGAUACAGAAGCUUCAAAAUCUGCUAUACUGGACAAGUUAGAGAACAAGAAAAAAGAACUGUUUUCGGCGGAGGAGAUUGUUCAAGACUUGGAGAAAAAGUGGGCACAGGUUCAGGAGAAUGCACUAAAGCAGCCUUCUCCAGGUGUCUUACAUCAUCUAUUUGUGGGUGGUCGAACUGAGAGCCAGCAGAGGCUCAUGCUGCUCAGGUGUUACACUAUGCUUGCCAAAAUCUGAAAGCACUCAGGGGCGCCACUCUGAAGCUGAGUCCUACAGAAAUAUAAAUAUUAGCCAGACAAAGCAGCAGCAGAAGCAGAAAAGUCCUACAAUGGCGAAGCCAGUUCUUCUCAUGUUGCUUGCAACGAUGUUUUCUGUGAUUGUCAACAUAUUCAACAAACUCGCGACUACCAAUGGUAUGUCAACGUCCGUUCUCACCGCAUACCAAUUCAUCUUUGGAACCAAGUUGCUAGCUCCUUUGGCCAUUUACAAAUCAUGUAUUGCAGGGGAACCAGGUACAAUCUGACAUGGGAGCGUAUGGAAAUCAAACAAAGAAAGAAAGCAAUUAAAAUUGGAGCAGUGUACAAUGAUUUGUAAAUGGCCGAAGGAGCUAGCAAACAUGGUUCCAAAGAUGAAUCGGUAUGCGAUGAGAACGGAGGUUGACAUAUCAUUGGUAGUCGCGAGUUUGUUAAAUAUGUUGACAAUCACACAAAACAUAGUUGCAAGCAACAUGAGAAGAACUGGCUUCGCCAUUGUAGGACUUUUCUGCUUCUACCGCUGCUUUGUCUGGCUAAUAUUUAUAUUUCUGUAGGACCCAGCUUCAGAGUGGCGCCCCUGAGUGCUUUCAGAUUUUGAAAAGCAUAAUGUAACCUAGGGUCAAAUAUUUCAGAUAUAAAGACUUAUCUCUCGUACGGAAUUUCAAGGCUUUCUCUUCCCCUUCCGGGCUGGUUGCCUUACCAUCCGAAACUCAAAGAUUCAAUAAGAUUACUGAAGUUUUUAACAAAUUUUGAAGAUUUUAAAGUUA